GAUAAAACGAUGAAGAAGACGAGUAAGAUAGUCACACUACCAGUGAGUUGGGCUGAGUGGAAACCAACGAGUCACUGACUAUUCGAAAAACACUUCCCAGUUUCUAACCGAAAUUCAGUAGGCUUAGACGUGUCCGUGACGUUAAAGGCGGCGAGUAUGCUUGUACUCGGUAGAGGUGGUCUAGCAAUAGUCAAACUGGGUGGUACCGCGAAGUCUUUCGUCCCUGUA
rnacentral:ncRNA from 1 species